rnacentral:rRNA from 1 species
UCUUGAAGCACGGACCAAGGAGUCUAACAUGUGCGCGAGUCAUUGGGACCGUACUAAACCUAAAGGCGUAAUGAAAGUGAAUGCCGGCCACCUCGGUGGUCGCGCAGAGGGGAGAUGCCCGUCGUCCUCGCGACGCACGCGGCCGCAUCCCCGGGGCGUCUCGUAGUCAUUGCGACUCAGCAGGCGCACCCAGAGCGUACACGUUGGGACCCGAAAGAUGGUGAACUAUGCCUGGUCAGGUCGAAGUCAGGGGAACUGGCGCUCGGAGAACUCUGAUGUGCGGGGACCUCGGCCUCGCGCCGUGCGUCCCCCACGAAAACCAGUCUCAUCUGGUAAAGCGAAUGAUUAGAGGCCUUGGGGCCGAAACGACCUCAACCUAUUCUCAAACUUUAAAUGGGUGAGACAUUCGACUUGCUUAAAUGCUCUGUCGUUGAAGUCGAACCAUACAGGAUGAAAGAGUGCCAAGUGGGCCAAUUUUGGUAAGCAGAACUGGUGCUGUGGGAUGAACCAAACGUCGAGUUAAGGCGCCUAAAUCGAUGCUCAUGGGAUACCAUGAAAGGCGUUGGUUGCUUAAGACAGCAGGACGGCGAUGUUGAUGGUUGUCGUUGUAUACUAAAAUAAAUUUGUGAUCGACACUAGCAAAUUGACACCAUCGGGCGAAAGGGAAUCCGGUUCCUAUUCCGGAACCCGGCUGCGGAACCGACCAUGCGGGCCACCCUGUCGCAAGACAGGACUCGUCGGGGUAACCCAAAAGGACCCGGAGACGCCGUCGGAUGAUCGGGGCAGAGUUUUCUGUUCUGUAUGAGCGUUCGAGUUCCCUGGAAUCGCCUAGCGCGGAGAUAGGGUUUGGAACGCGAAGAGCACCGCACUUGCGGCGGUGUCCCGAUCUAUCCCUCGGACCUUGAAAAUCCGGGAGAGGGCCACGUGGAGGUGUCGCGCCGGUUCGUACCCAUAUCCGCAGCAGGUCUCCAAGGUGAGGAGCCUCUAGUCGAUAGAA